rnacentral:tRNA from 1 species
UGGGGUAGAGCUCAGUGGCAGAGCACAUGCUUAGCAUGCAUGAGGUCCUGGGUUCAAUCCCCAGUAUCUCCA